rnacentral:rRNA from 1 species
UACAGAGGGUGCAAGCGUUAAUCGGAUUUACUGGGCGUAAAGCGCACGUAGGCGGUUAGUUAAGUUGGAUGUGAAUGCCCCGGGCUCAACCUGGGAAUUGCAUUCAAAACUGGCUAACUAGAGUAUGUGAGAGGGGGGUAGAAUUCCAAGUGUAGCGGUGAAAUGCGUAGAGAUUUGGAGGAAUACCAGUGGCGAAGGCGGCCCCCUGGCACACUACUGACGCUGAGGUGCGAAAGCGUGGGGAGCGAACAGG